rnacentral:rRNA from 1 species
UUGAACGCUGGCGGCAUGCUUUACACCUGCCGGUCGAACGGCAGCGCGGGCUUCGGCCUGGCGGCGAGUGGCGAACGGGUGAGUAAUGCAUCGGAACGUGCCCAGUAGUGGGGGAUAGCCCGGCGAAAGCCGGAUUAAUACCGCAUACGACCUGAGGGUGAAAGCGGGGGACCGAAAGGCCUCGCGCUAUUGGAGCGGCCGAUGUCGGAUUAGCUAGUUGGUGGGGUAAAGGCUUACCAAGGCGACGAUCCGUAGCUGGUCUGAGAGGACGACCAGCCACACUGGAACUGAGACACGGCCCAGACUCCUACGGGAGGCAGCAGUGGGGAAUUUUGGACAAUGGGGGCAACCCUGAUCCAGCCAUGCCGCGUGCGGGAAGAAGGCCUUCGGGUUGUAAACCGCUUUUGUUCGGGAAGAAAUCCUCUGGGCUAAUACCCCGGGGGGAUGACGGUACCGGAAGAAUAAGCACCGGCUAACUACGUG